GCACUUCCGGGGCCCGCGUCCCCCGGCGGCUUCGCCGAGAAGGGGCUUUGGGAGCUUAAGGGCGCCGGCACGCGUUCCCCUGGCGCAGAGCUCGCUAGCCGGGGCGCGGGCUGCCUCCUUGUUCUGGUGUGAUCCGAAUGUAACGGAGCGGACUUUGGGAUCCAGAACCCCGGACUGAGGUUGUGCUUGGCUUGAGGGGCGGGCUGCUGCAGUUCCUGAUACUGGUUUUUCUACAUGCUUCAGCCAAAGACAUAUACUCUUUGAUCCCUGAGAACACUAUUUCCUCAGUGUCUUUGCACAUGGAGUUCACUUCUCUGCUUGUGAAGUCUAUGAAUAUUGCAUGGCUGAUUUGUCACAAUUUUAAGUCUUCAACAUCUGGAGUGUUCUGGCAAGAAUUUGUAGGAAAAAUUUUUGAAUCAUCAGAUUACCAUAGCACAACCUUGGAGAAUAAAACUCUUUUGCUCUGAAGCUCAUCUAAUAACCUGAUAUCUCUCAAAUGAAUCUAUCCAAUGACAGGGAAUACCCCAUGUUAAACAGCUGAUUCUUGUUCUGAAUACGUUUAUUAUCUUGUAGUUAGUAAAUAAAUCAAUUGGACCCUUAA
rnacentral:lncRNA from 1 species